rnacentral:snRNA from 1 species
AGCUUUGCGCAGCAGCAGUAACAUAGCCAAUGAGGUUUAUCUGAGGUGUGAUUAUCGCUAAUCGAAAGAGAGUAGCCUCAAGGCGCAUCCAUUUAGCUAUAAAUCUCUCUAGUUUCUUAAUCUAUAUGGCUGCGUAACACUCCAUUUUAUA